rnacentral:rRNA from 1 species
CAGUCGCCGCGGGAAUACAGAGGGUGCGAGCGUUAAUCGGAUUUACUGGGCGUAAAGCGUGCGUAGGCGGCUAAUUGAGUCGGAUGUGAAAUCCCCGAGCUUAACUUGGGAAUUGCAUUCGAUACUGGUUAGCUAGAGUGUGGGAGAGGAUGGUAGAAUUCCAGGUGUAGCGGUGAAAUGCGUAGAGAUCUGGAGGAAUACCGAUGGCGAAGGCAGCCAUCUGGCCUAAUACUGACGCUGAGGUACGAAAGCAUGGGGAGCAAACAGGAUUAGAUACCCCAGUAGUCCCUGUCUCUUAUAC